rnacentral:rRNA from 1 species
GGGUUGUGAGGUUAAGCGACUAAGCGUACACGGUGGAUGCCCUGGCAGUCAGAGGCGAUGAAGGACGUGCUAAUCUGCGAAAAGCGUCGGUAAGGUGAUAUGAACCGUUACAGCCGGCGAUGUCCGAAUGGGGAAACCCAGUGUGAUUCGUCACACUAUCGUUAACUGAAUACAUAGGUUAACGAGGCGAACCGGGGAACUGAAACAUCUAAGUACCCGAGGAAAAGAAAUCAACCGAGAUUCCCCAGUAGCGGCGAGCGAACGGGAGCAGCCCAGAGUCUGAAUCAGCUUGUGUGUUAGUGGAACGGUCUGGAAAGUCCGACGGUACAGGGUGAUAGUCCGUACACCAAAAUGCACAGGCUGUGAACUCGAAGAUAGGGCGGGACACGUGGUAUCCUGUCUGAAUAUGGGGGACCAUCCUCCAAGGCUAAAUACUCUGACUGACCGAUAGUGAACCAGUACCGUGAGGGAAAGGCGAAAAGAACCCCGGCGAGGGGAGUGAAAAGAACCUGAAACCGUGUACGUACAAGCAGUGGGAGCACCUUCGGGUGUGACUGCGUACCUUUUGUAUAAUGGGUCAGCGACUUAUAUUCUGUAGCAAGGUUAACCGUAUAGGGGAGCCGCAGGGAAACCGAGUCUUAACUGGGCGUUAAGUUGCAGGGUAUAGACCCGAAACCCGGUGAUCUAGCCAUGGGCAGGUUGAAGGUUGGGUAACACUAACUGGAGGACCGAACCGACUAAUGUUGAAAAAUUAGCGGAUGACUUGUGGCUGGGGGUGAAAGGCCAAUCAAACCGGGAGAUAGCUGGUUCUCCCCGAAAGCUAUUUAGGUAGCGCCUCGUGAAUUCAUCUUCGGGGUAGAGCACUGUUUCGGCUAGGGGGUCAUCCCGACUUACCAACCCGAUGCAAACUACGAAUACCGAAGAAUGUUAUCACGGGAGACACACGGCGGGUGCUAACGUCCGUCGUGAAGAGGGAAACAACCCAGACCGCCAGCUAAGGUCCCAAAGUCACAGUUAAGUGGGAAACGAUGUGGGAAGGCACAGACAGCCAGGAUGUUGGCUUAGAAGCAGCCAUCAUUUAAAGAAAGCGUAAUAGCUCACUGGUCGAGUCGGCCUGCGCGGAAGAUGUAACGGGGCUAAACUGUGCACCGAAGCUGCGGCAGCGACACUAUGUGUUGUUGGGUAGGGGAGCGUUCUGUAAGCCUGCGAAGGUGGCCUGUGAGGGUUGCUGGAGGUAUCAGAAGUGCGAAUGCUGACAUAAGUAACGAUAAUGCGGGUGAAAAGCCCGCACGCCGGAAGACCAAGGGUUCCUGUCCAACGUUAAUCGGGGCAGGGUGAGUCGACCCCUAAGGCGAGGCCGAAAGGCGUAGUCGAUGGGAAACAGGUUAAUAUUCCUGUACUUGGUGUUACUGCGAAGGGGGACGGAGAAGGCUAUGUUAGCCGGGCGACGGUUGUCCCGGUUUAAGCAUGUAGGCGGAGGUUCCAGGUAAAUCCGGUACCUUUUUAACGCUGAGGUGUGAUGACGAGGCACUACGGUGCUGAAGUAACAAAUGCCCUGCUUCCAGGAAAAGCCUCUAAGCAUCAGGUAACAUUGAAUCGUACCCCAAACCGACACAGGUGGUCAGGUAGAGAAUACCAAGGCGCUUGAGAGAACUCGGGUGAAGGAACUAGGCAAAAUGGUGCCGUAACUUCGGGAGAAGGCACGCUGAUAUGUAGGUGAAGCCCCUGCGGGUGGAGCUGAAAUCAGUCGAAGAUACCAGCUGGCUGCAACUGUUUAUUAAAAACACAGCACUGUGCAAACACGAAAGUGGACGUAUACGGUGUGACGCCUGCCCGGUGCCGGAAGGUUAAUUGAUGGGGUUAUCCGUAAGGAGAAGCUCUUGAUCGAAGCCCCGGUAAACGGCGGCCGUAACUAUAACGGUCCUAAGGUAGCGAAAUUCCUUGUCGGGUAAGUUCCGACCUGCACGAAUGGCGUAAUGAUGGCCAGGCUGUCUCCACCCGAGACUCAGUGAAAUUGAACUCGCUGUGAAGAUGCAGUGUACCCGCGGCAAGACGGAAAGACCCCGUGAACCUUUACUAUAGCUUGACACUGAACAUUGAGCCUUGAUGUGUAGGAUAGGUGGGAGGCUUUGAAGCGUGGACGCCAGUCUGCGUGGAGCCAACCUUGAAAUACCACCCUUUAAUGUUUGAUGUUCUAACGUUGGCCCCUUAUCGGGGUUGCGGACAGUGUCUGGUGGGUAGUUUGACUGGGGCGGUCUCCUCCCAAAGAGUAACGGAGGAGCACGAAGGUUAGCUAAUCCUGGUCGGACAUCAGGAGGUUAGUGCAAUGGCAUAAGCUAGCUUGACUGCGAGCGUGACGGCGCGAGCAGGUGCGAAAGCAGGUCAUAGUGAUCCGGUGGUUCUGAAUGGAAGGGCCAUCGCUCAACGGAUAAAAGGUACUCCGGGGAUAACAGGCUGAUACCGCCCAAGAGUUCAUAUCGACGGCGGUGUUUGGCACCUCGAUGUCGGCUCAUCACAUCCUGGGGCUGAAGUAGGUCCCAAGGGUAUGGCUGUUCGCCAUUUAAAGUGGUACGCGAGCUGGGUUUAGAACGUCGUGAGACAGUUCGGUCCCUAUCUGCCGUGGGCGCUGGAGAAUUGAGGGGGGCUGCUCCUAGUACGAGAGGACCGGAGUGGACGCAUCACUGGUGUUCGGGUUGUCAUGCCAAUGGCAUUGCCCGGUAGCUAAAUGCGGAAGAGAUAAGUGCUGAAAGCAUCUAAGCACGAAACUUGCCCCGAGAUGAGUUCUCCCUGAGACUUUAAGUCUCCUGAAGGAACGUUAAAGACGAUGACGUUGAUAGGUCGGGUGUGUAAGCGUAGCGAUACGUUGAGCUAACCGAUACUAAUGAACCGUGAGGCUUAACCUUACAACGCCGAAGGUGUUU